rnacentral:lncRNA from 1 species
UCCCCAGGCACAUGAGCUACGUGCACAUACUUGGAAGAGCCCACCUUGGCAUGAACAGAGGGACAUCUCUAUCACAGACUGAGAAAUGCCAGUUAUUCUCGAAGGCCACUGGCUUCUGGAAGACAGGGAACUGCACUCCAGCAAGCCAGCAGAAUGAUUCAUUUCCAUGGAAUUUGGAGAGCAGUAAAGCAGGCAGUGCAGGACUGAUUGCUGAGAGACCAUGCAGGGGAGGGCUGGGCUGGGAGCAGCUAUUACAGGGGAGAAAUGAGAAGGACUGUCUUGGGAGCAAUGGCAAAGGCAGAUCUAGCCCCUUUACCCACAGAAGUCCUCCUCCAUGAAUGUUCUCCUCCUCAAGACUCCUGCUCUGUCUUGGCUUUGUGCCGCUGGGGCCGAUGGUGGCAUUAUAGGUGCUACUUACAGUCACUGAUAGUUUACUGUUUCAGAGGCGGUGGUUCCAGAAGGGCCUCUGAGCCAUGUCAUAUGGGCAGCUCCCAGGGAGGAGCUAGACACCUCAUCCAGGUGUCCUGUCAGGCGGGCUCAUUCUGGGCUUCCCCCUAUCAUGAACCAGGUUUGAGAACUCUAUAAUCUCACACAGCACCAGUGAAGCAAUACGCUUUGGGGGCAGGGCACUCACAGAGCUAAAGGAGAGCAAGAAGAGUGAAGCGAGGGUGCAUCCCCCAUUCCCUCAUCAUUCCUGGGUGGGGGUGAGCUGGGCCGACAGCGCUGUCCUGUGUUCUGCUGCGGGACCACACAGGCUACUUGGCUCCAGGCAGAGGAGAUAUGCAGACAUUGUCUAGAUGUUGCAAUGCUUCCUGCAUGUAAGAGGGGUGGGGAGGGUGAAGAGGAAGCCUCCAGCCCCACAGCAAAGGGAUCAUGGGCGCCCUCUUGCUGGGAAGCAGCCUGGCCCCAGCUGGCUCAUGGUCCAAGCAAUGCAAGGAGCUCCCAGGGUCCCUUUCGGAUGCCCCUGCCUUUGCUCUGCUGACCCAGGGAGAGCCACAUGCUCCCCAGCAUUGAGGCCAGCUGCGGCACAGCUCUCUGAACAGUGGGCCCUCCAUAUGCAAGGUCCCCCAGUUGUUCAUGAUUUUGAAGAGUCUGUUGUAUGCUGAUUGCCACAGUCACUCCUGU